AUGUCAAUGUUGCUCUCUGGGUUCUUCACUCGGAAAGGCAAACUGACGUGCCUCGUUCCAACGCCGGGAUCGGUGUUCGGGCCUACUACCCUCUUCCUCGGCUCCUUCUUUCGAGACGCCCCGCGAGGCCUCCGCCUUAGUCGUGCAACACCGCUCGCCGCACACCAUGGCCUCCUCCUUGUGCGUCUCCCCUACUCCGACCCCCUGCUUCACCUCGCCGUGUGCAAUCUGCUCGCCGGCACAUGCAUUGUGCUCCCCCCACUAGAAAGCAGUUGGAAGUAUGGCGACAGUGGCUAUGCCAUCUUUACCACCGCAGACCGUCCCUCAAGCUGCGACGAACAACCAUCAUGGCCGCCGGGCUACUCGGCAUUGUUCAAAGUUCUAGUCAUAUGCUGCCAUGGUUAUCACAAGCCAUGCAUUCUUCACUCAUUUUCAUAUGGCGAGGCGAGGUGGAAGAUGCCCACGGAGAUAGUCUGUGAGUCGACAAAGCUCAGCAUCUGCGGGUCACUCAAGCAUCCCAUCGCCGUUGUGUGCCAUGGCACGGCGCACUGGCUUGUUUGGUGCAAGUCAACCGACGUUUAUCGGUGGCAUAUUAUUGAUGUGGAUGCCGAGACAUGUCAUGGUUCCCUGAGGGAGAUUGUGAUCCCGAUCCAACAUAUUUUACCUGUAACUUAUGAACCACAACUUAGUGUGGCUCAUGAUGGGACAUUAUUAUUGCUUUACCUGCAAAGGCCAGGCCUCCAGUUAAAAAUAUGUGUGCAACAAGACAACGUAAAGGGCGAUAAUGAUGGUAGAUGGCUUUGCAGUAGAGUGGUCGAGCUAAAACUACCCACGAGUAUUCAAGCACAAGAGAUGUAUUUGACCCCUUUAGGAGAGAAGGGCGGAACAUUGCUCGUUAAGGACAACUGGAUGAAUGUGUAUGCCGUCGAUCUUAAAACAGGGGUCAUGAAGAGUCUGGCGUCUUGUGGUCAGAUUAACCGGAAGAUCGUUCCGUUUGAGUUAUAUUGGCCAGUGUAG
rnacentral:rRNA from 1 species